rnacentral:rRNA from 1 species
AGCAGCCGCGGUAAUUCCAGCUCCAAUAGCGUAUAUUAAAGUUGUUGCAGUUAAAAAGCUCGUAGUUGAAUUUCGGGAUUGACACAUCGGUCGUGCCUUAAGGGGUAUGAACUGGUGUAGUCAAUUUCUCACCUUCUGGAGAACCGCGAUGCCCUUAAUUGGGUGUCACGGGGAACCAGGACCUUUACUUUGAAAAAAUUAGAGUGUUUAAAGCAGGCAUUUUGCUUGAAUACAUUAGCAUGGAAUAAUAAAUAGGACGGCAUGAUUCUAUUUUGUUGGUUUCUAGGAUCACCGUAAUGAUUAAUAGGGAUAGUUGGGGGCAUUAGUAUUCAAUUGUCAGAGGUGAAAUUCUUGGAUUUAUUGAAGACUAACUACUGCGAAAGCAUUUGCCAAGGAUGUUUUCAUUAAUCAAGAACGAAAGUUAGGGAUCGAAGACGAUCAGAUACCGUC